CGACUCUUUCACCUUUUCUUCCAAGAAGUAAGCCUUGGUCUAACGAUCUUGAAUUUAAGUUAUCUGUGAAAGGAGGCAAGCAACACUUGCUAGGUAGUGGCUCGAGUGAUUGGGAGAAGUGCCUGGAUCAGCUAAACUGCAAUUGUCAAUUCGUGAAUGUCCCCAGUUGUCGAAAAGAUGUGAAAAGGGAACCGGAAUCCAGUGGCCUCACAUUGCUCACAUCACAUCUAUUGUAAUUGAUGGGCGAUGACUUCAAUGUUGAUCAUACUGUAUAGUUUGAGAGAGUACAUACGGAUUUCAACUUGCCAAUGCCAUUGUGAAGAAGUGUACUAGAAUCUGUGGAUUGGAAGCUUUACUCUCAACAGCAUCAUCGUAUUAUAAUUUGAAGGACUGAGUAUCUAUGUUACAGUUUAAUGACAAUUCUAUAUAACAACGACUGCACAGCAUGCGACUCUCUCACCAUUUCUUCCCAAGAUGUGAGCUUGGUCUAACGGUCUUGAAUUCAAGGUAAAUUGGUUUUUCAUUUAUUGCCCUAUUAUAUAUGAGGAAUUUGCUGUGUAUAGAAUCUGCAAUAAUUUUCCAUUGCUCUAAUGUUUAAGAUUUCCAUUUUCCAUCGAAAAUAAUGUUUAAGAUUUUCAUUUAUUAUGAA